UCGGCUUUGUGAGUGCCAUCAUCCUCCUGCUCCUCGUCCUGCUCAUCCUCUGCUUCAUCAAGCGCAGCAAGGGCGGCAAAUACUCAGGUAGCCUCUGAGCCCCACGUGACGGGGGUGGAGCCGAGGGCAGAGAGGAGCACCUCGCCCCUUCCACCCUUCUGCAAGGCCUCCUGGAUUCCCCGAGCUCCCCACAAGAUGACAGGCGCAUGGUGGGGGCAGGCAGGGGGAUCAUCCUCCCAGGCCGGGGUUGGGGCAACAGGCAAGUGGUGGCUGGACCGCAGGGGGUGAGCGGUUUCUUUCAAGGCCUCUUGCCUCUGGGCGCUGUUGAGACAGAGUGCUGGGGGUGCGGGGCGUAGAGGGGCCUGGAGCCCCGGGUCAGGCUGGGGCGGGAGAAGAAGCUGUCCCUCUCUGUGUCUCCAGUGAAGGAUAAGGAGGACACCCAGGUGGACUCUGAGGCCCGACCGAUGAAAGAUGAGACCUUCGGCGAGUACAGGUCCCUGGAGAGUGACAACGAGGAGAAGGCCUUUGGCAGCAGCCAGCCAUCGCUCAACGGGGACAUCAAGCCCCUGGGCAGUGACGACAGCCUGGCCGAUUAUGGGGGCAGCGUG
rnacentral:lncRNA from 10 species